rnacentral:rRNA from 1 species
AUGUCUGCGAUGCAAUCAUCGUAUCUUCCUGCUACCACUGAGUCAAUUGCAAUGGCUCAGGAAGCUAAGGAUGCUUCAGAGUCCAUUUUAAUCCUCUACCGUGUGCUUGAAGACCCGUCUUCUUCUUCAGAUGCAGUUAGAACAAAAGAAGUUGCCAUUACAAAUCUGACAAACUAUCUCACAAAAGAGAACAGAGCCCAGGAGCUUAGGAAUCUGUUGACCCAGCUCAGGCCAUUUUUCGCACUGAUUCCCAAGGCAAAGACCGCAAAGAUUGUACGUGGCAUCAUUGAUGCCGUUUCCAAGAUACCUGGAACAUCUGAUCUUCAGAUCUCACUCUGCAAGGAGAUGGUGGAAUGGACACGUGCAGAGAAACGUACCUUCCUCAGGCAGCGUGUGGAAGCAAGACUAGCAGCCCUUCUUUUGGAAAGUCAGGAGUACACUGAAGCUCUUACCCUUCUUUCUGGUCUUAUCAAGGAAGUGAGGAGGCUGGAUGACAAAUUGCUUCUUGUUGACAUUGACCUUCUGGAGAGCAAACUCCAUUUCUCUCUAAGGAACCUUCCAAAGGCCAAGGCUUCUCUGACUGCCGCAAGAACUGCAGCGAAUGCCAUUUAUGUUCCGCCAGCGCAGCAGGGCACUAUUGACCUGCAGAGUGGAAUCCUUCAUGCCGAAGAGAAGGAUUACAAGACUGCCUACAGUUACUUCUUUGAAGCGUUUGAAGGGUUUAAUGCACUGGACGACCCUAAGGCCAUCUUCUGCUUGAAGUACAUGCUUCUGUGCAAGAUAAUGGUCAACCAAGCUGAUGAUGUUGCAGGAGUGAUCUCGUCUAAGGCAGGCCUGAAGUAUGUUGGUCCUGAUGUGGAUGCUAUGAAAGCUGUUGCGGAUGCCUACUCGAAACGAUCUCUGAAGUACUUUGAAACCGCUCUUGGUGACUACAAGGCCCAGCUGGAGGAGGAUCCUAUUGUCCACAGGCACCUCUCGUCUCUGUAUGAUACCCUCCUGGAGCAGAACCUGUGCAGGCUGAUUGAAGCCUACUCAAGGGUGGAGAUUGCGCACGUAGCAGAGAUGAUUGAGCUGCCAAUUGAGCAUGUUGAGAAGAAGCUGUCACAGAUGAUCCUGGACAAGAAAUUCGCAGGGACUCUGGAUCAGGGUGCGGGCUGCCUCAUCAUCUUCGAAGACGCCAAGACGGAGGCGAUAUUCCCUGCUACGCUCGAAACAAUUUCGAAUGUGGGGAAGGUUGUCGAGAGCCUUUACAUGAGGUCAGCAAAGAUCAUGGCUUGA